rnacentral:rRNA from 1 species
ACGAACGCUGGCGGCAUGCCUAACACAUGCAAGUCGAACGAGACCUUCGGGUCUAGUGGCGCACGGGUGCGUAACGCGUGGGAACCUGCCCUUAGGUUCGGAAUAACUCCCCGAAAGGGGUGCUAAUACCGGAUAAUGUCUUCGGACCAAAGAUUUAUCGCCUUUGGAUGGGCCCGCGUUGGAUUAGCUAGUUGGUAGGGUAAAAGCCUACCAAGGCGACGAUCCAUAGCUGGUCUGAGAGGAUGAUCAGCCACACUGGGACUGAGACACGGCCCAGACUCCUACGGGAAGCAGCAGUGGGGAAUAUUGGACAAUGGGCGAAAGCCUGAUCCAGCGAUGCCGCGUGAGUGAUGAAGGCCUUAGGGUUGUAAAGCUCUUUUACCCGGGAUGAUAAUGACAGUACCGGGAGAAUAAGCUCCGGCUAACUCCGUG